CCUGACAUUCCAAUAUGGUUUCAGAUAGUAGAGCAUGAUACCAAUCUAAUCUUGCUAUCGAGUUACUUCGAACCCGCAUCUUUUGGCAAAGGACGUGACAAAAUGGCGAAGUUUUAAUUAAUAGUUAUGAUUCUACAGAAGUAUAUGAGCAACCAGCAAAGUGGUUUACUGUAAGUUGUUCCUUUUGGGUUAUCGUCCUCAAUCGUCCAUGUUUACAAAUCCAUUUCUCAAGAG